AUUGAACGCUAGCGGCAUGCUUAACACAUGCAAGUCGAACGGUAACAGGCCUAGCUUGCUAGGCGCUGACGAGUGGCGGACGGGUGAGUAACGCGUAGGAAUCUACCUUGCAGAGGGGAAUAACCUGGGGAAACUCAGGCUAAUACCGCAUAAGCCCUAAGGGGGAAAGCAGGGGACUGUAACAGGCCUUGCACUAUGAGAUGAGCCUACGUCGGAUUAGCUAGUUGGUAGGGUAAAGGCCUACCAAGGCGAAGAUCCGUAGCUGGUCUGAGAGGACGACCAGCCACACUGGGACUGAGACACGGCCCAGACUCCUACGGGAGGCAGCAGUGGGGAAUAUUGGACAAUGGGCGCAAGCCUGAUCCAGCAAUGCCGCGUGUGUGAAGAAGGCCUGCGGGUUGUAAAGCACUUUCAGUGGGGAGGAACGUUUUUAGCACUAAUACUGCUAAGAGGUGACGCUACCCAAAGAAGAAGCACCGGCUAACUCUGUGCCAGCCGCCGCAGUAA
rnacentral:rRNA from 1 species